rnacentral:rRNA from 1 species
ACGCACGCUUGCGGCGUGCUUAACACAUGCAAGUCGCACGGAAAGGCCCUGCCUUUGUGGGGUGCUCGAGUGGCGAACGGGUGAGUAACACGUGAGUAACCUGCCCUUGACUUUGGGAUAACUUCAGGAAACUGGGGCUAAUACCGGAUAGGAGCUCCUGCUGCAUGGUGGGGGUUGGAAAGUUUCGGCGGUUGGGGAUGGACUCGCGGCUUAUCAGCUUGUUGGUGGGGUAGUGGCUUACCAAGGGUUUGACGGGUAGCCGGCCUGAGAGGGUGACCGGCGACAUUGGGACUGAGAUACGGCCCAGACUCCUACGGGAGGCAGCAGUGGGGAAUAUUGCACAAUGGGCGGAAGCCUGAUGCAGCAACGCCGCGUGCGGGAUGACGGCCUUCGGGUUGUAAACCGCUUUCGCCUGUGACGAAGCGUGAGUGACGGUAAUGGGUAAAGAAGCACCGGCUAACUACGUG